rnacentral:rRNA from 1 species
GACGUAGGGGGCCAGCGUUGUUCGGAAUUACUGGGUGUAAAGGGUUCGUAGGCGGUGUGGCAAGUCGGGAGUGAAAUCUCUGGGCUCAACCCAGAGUCUGCUUCCGAAACUGCUGUGCUUGAGUGUGGGAGAGGCGCGUGGAAUUGCAGGUGUAGCGGUGAAAUGCGUAGAUAUCUGCAGGAACACCCGUGGCGAAAGCGGCGCGCUGGACCACUACUGACGCUGAGACGCGAAAGCGUGGGGAGCAAACAGG